rnacentral:rRNA from 2 species
GCUGCUAUGAUGCAGUCGACGAACUCUGGUAUUGAUUGGUGCUUGCAUCAUGAUUUACAUUUGAGUGAGUGGCGAACUGGUGAGUAACACGUGGGAAACCUGCCCAGAAGCGGGGGAUAACACCUGGAAACAGAUGCUAAUACCGCAUAACAACUUGGACCGCAUGGUCCGAGCUUGAAAGAUGGCUUCGGCUAUCACUUUUGGAUGGUCCCGCGGCGUAUUAGCUAGAUGGUGGGGUAACGGCUCACCAUGGCAAUGAUACGUAGCCGACCUGAGAGGGUAAUCGGCCACAUUGGGACUGAGACACGGCCCAAACUCCUACGGGAGGCAGCAGUAGGGAAUCUUCCACAAUGGACGAAAGUCUGAUGGAGCAACGCCGCGUGAGUGAAGAAGGGUUUCGGCUCGUAAAACUCUGUUGUUAAAGAAGAACAUAUCUGAGAGUAACUGUUCAGGUAUUGACGGUAUUUAACCAGAAAGCCACGGCUAACUACGUGCCAGCAGCCGCGGUAAUACGUAGGUGGCAAGCGUUGUCCGGAUUUAUUGGGCGUAAAGCGAGCGCAGGCGGUUUUUUAAGUCUGAUGUGAAAGCCUUCGGCUCAACCGAAGAAGUGCAUCGGAAACUGGGAAACUUGAGUGCAGAAGAGGACAGUGGAACUCCAUGUGUAGCGGUGAAAUGCGUAGAUAUAUGGAAGAACACCAGUGGCGAAGGCGGCUGUCUGGUCUGUAACUGACGCUGAGGCUCGAAAGUAUGGGUAGCAAACAGGAUUAGAUACCCUGGUAGUCCAUACCGUAAACGAUGAAUGCUAAGUGUUGGAGGGUUUCCGCCCUUCAGUGCUGCAGCUAACGCAUUAAGCAUUCCGCCUGGGGAGUACGGCCGCAAGGCUGAAACUCAAAGGAAUUGACGGGGGCCCGCACAAGCGGUGGAGCAUGUGGUUUAAUUCGAAGCUACGCGAAGAACCUUACCAGGUCUUGACAUACUAUGCAAAUCUAAGAGAUUAGACGUUCCCUUCGGGGACAUGGAUACAGGUGGUGCAUGGUUGUCGUCAGCUCGUGUCGUGAGAUGUUGGGUUAAGUCCCGCAACGAGCGCAACCCUUAUUAUCAGUUGCCAGCAUUAAGUUGGGCACUCUGGUGAGACUGCCGGUGACAAACCGGAGGAAGGUGGGGAUGACGUCAAAUCAUCAUGCCCCUUAUGACCUGGGCUACACACGUGCUACAAUGGAUGGUACAACGAGUUGCGAACUCGCGAGAGUAAGCUAAUCUCUUAAAGCCAUUCUCAGUUCGGAUUGUAGGCUGCAACUCGCCUACAUGAAGUCGGAAUCGCUAGUAAUCGCGGAUCAGCAUGCCGCGGUGAAUACGUUCCCGGGCCUUGUACACACCGCCCGUCACACCAUGAGAGUUUGUAACACCCAAAGUCGGUGGGGUAACCUUUUAGGAACCAGCCGCCUAAGGGGACA